AACUACAGCCAUGCCACCCUGAACAAGCCUGAUCCCGUCUGAUCUUGGAAGCUAAGCAAGGUCAGGCCUGGUUAGUACUGGGAUGGGAGACCAGGUAGGAAGACCAGGUGCUAUAGGCG
rnacentral:rRNA from 1 species